rnacentral:rRNA from 1 species
GACGAACGCUGGCGGCGUGCUUAACACAUGCAAGUCGAACGGAAAGGCCCUGCUUUUGUGGGGUGCUCGAGUGGCGAACGGGUGAGUAACACGUGAGUAACCUCUCCCUGACUUUGGGAUAACUUCAGGAAACUGGGGCUAUUACCGGAUAGGAGCUCUUGCUGCAUGGUGGGGGUUGGUAAGAUUCGGCGGUUGGGGAUCGACUCGCGGCUUAUCAGCUUGUUGGUGGGGUAGUGGCUUACCAAGGCUUUGACGGGUAGCCGGCCUGAGAGGGUGACCGGCCACAUUGGGACUGAGAUACGGCGCAGACGCCUACGGGAGGCAGCAGUCGGGAAUAUGGCACAAUGGGCGGAAGCCAGAUGCAGCAGCGCCGCGUGCGGGAUGACGGCCUUCGGGUUAUAAACCGCUUUCGCCUGUGACGAAGCGUGAGUGACGGUAAUGGGUAAGGAAGCACCGGCUAACUACGUG